UACGAAGGGGGCUAGCGUUGCUCGGAAUUACUGGGCGUAAAGCGCAUGUAGGCGGAUGUCUAAGUCGUGUGUUAAAGCCCCUGGCUCAACUGGGGGAGGUCAUGCGAGACUGGAUGACUUGAGGGCAACAGAGGCACGUGGAACUCCCGGUGUAGCGGUGGAAUGCGUAGAGAUCGGGAAGAACACCCGUGGCGAAGGCGGCGUGCUGGGUUGCAACUGACGCUGAGAUGCGAAAGUGUGGGGAGCAAACGGG
rnacentral:rRNA from 1 species